CAGUCGCCGCGGUAAUACGUAGGUGGCAAGCGUUGUCCGGAAUUAUUGGGCGUAAAGCGCGCGCAGGUGGUUUAAUAAGUCUGAUGUGAAAGCCCACGGCUCAACCGUGGGGGGUCAUUGGAAACUGUUAAACUUGAGUGCAGGAGAGAAAAGUGGAAUUCCUAGUGUAGCGGUGAAAUGCGUAGAGAUUAGGAGGAACACCAGUGGCGAAGGCGGCUUUUUGGCCUGUAACUGACACUGAGGCGCGAAAGCGUGGGGAGCAAACAGGAUUAGAUACCCCCGUAGUCCCUGUCUCUUAUAC
rnacentral:rRNA from 1 species